rnacentral:rRNA from 1 species
CCUACGGGAGGCAGCAGUGGGGAAUUUUGGACAAUGGGCGCAAGCCUGAUCCAGCCAUGCCGCGUGUGGGAAGAAGGCCUUCGGGUUGUAAACCACUUUUGUCAGGGAAGAAACGGCUCUUACUAAUAUUAGGGGCUAAUGACGGUACCUGAAGAAUAAGCACCGGCUAACUACGUGCCAGCAGCCGCGGUAAUACGUAGGGUGCAAGCGUUAAUCGGAAUUACUGGGCGUAAAGCGUGCGCAGGCGGCUUUGCAAGACAGAUGUGAAAUCCCCGGGCUCAACCUGGGAACUGCAUUUGUGACUGCAUGGCUAGAGUACGGUAGAGGGGGAUGGAAUUCCGCGUGUAGCAGUGAAAUGCGUAGAUAUGCGGAGGAACACCGAUGGCGAAGGCAAUCCCCUGGACCUGUACUGACGCUCAUGCACGAAAGCGUGGGGAGCAAACAGGAUUAGAUACCCUGGUAGUCCACGCCCUAAACGAUGUCAACUGGUUGUUGGACGGCUUGCUGUUCAGUAACGAAGCUAACGCGUGAAGUUGACCGCCUGGGGAGUACGGCCGCAAGGUUGAAACUUAAAGGAAUUGACGG